rfam:Ignavibacteria bacterium CG1_02_37_35 cg1_0.2_scaffold_4124_c, whole genome shotgun sequence.
UCCGCGAUAGCUCAAUGGUGGAGCAUUCGGCUGUUAUCCCGACUUUGUCGGGAUGCAAGUUCGAGUCUCACUUGCGGGG